AUUGAACGCUGGCGGCAGGCCUAACACAUGCAAGUCGAACGAGUGGCGGACGGGUGAGUAAUGUCUGGGAAACUGCCCGAUGGAGGGGGAUAACUACUGGAAACGGUAGCUAAUACCGCAUACCAUCGGAUGUGCCCAGAUGGGAUUAGCUAGUAGGUGGGGUAACGGCUCACCUAGGCGACGGUCCCUAGCUGGUAUGAGAGGAUGACCAGCCACACUGGAACGGAGACACGGUCCAGACGCCUACGAGAGGCAGCAGUGGGUAAUAUUGCACAAUUGGCGCAAGCCUGAUGCAGCCAUGCCGCGUGUAUGAAGAAGGCCUUCGGGUUGGAAAGUACUUUCAGCGGGGAGGCGUUACCCGCAGAAGAAGCACCGGCUAACUCCGUGCCAGCAGCCGCGGUAAUGC
rnacentral:rRNA from 1 species